UUUAAUGGCGGCUGUGCGUGGGAGACCUUCGGGUCUGCCGGUUGCUGAUUGCCGGAUUCUCACCCUGCGCACAGUUGCCACCCAA
rnacentral:antisense_RNA from 2 species